ACUAAACCCUCAAGAUAUUCCAUUUCUUUCCAUGCAGCUGUUCCUGGUUUACCAAUUGUUGGCAAUCUUCUUCAGUUGAAAGAAAAGAAACCCCACCAAACCUUUACAAAAUGGGCUGAAAUUUAUGGGCCAAUUUACACUAUAAAGACAGGUGCUUCUUCUGUAGUUGUGCUCAAUUCAACUGAAGUAGCCAAGGAGGUAGUGGAAAUGGAUCGUACGGACUUCCAGGACGACUUAAUGCACGAGCUCAUUCGUGGUAAUACCGAGUACAUUGCUCCAGAGUUUGAUGGGGCCGAGAAUGAUGGCACCCAAUUUUUAAACUUGCAUUAUCAUGGCGACGAGGGUGAAGAUACUAAUGGGGAGGAAGAAGAAAAUCUCGACGAAGCCGAGGCAUCAGGAUCGACGAAGUCUAAACGGAAACAUGGCUCCAAGAGGAAGAUGGUAGGAUGUACGACCAUCACGGAGAUCGACGAAGCAACCGGCGAGCCACUAGCCCCUGGUCAAAUUAAGACGACAUU